UUUUUGGAGAGUUUGAUCUUGGCUCAGGACGAACGCUGGCGGCGUGCCUAAUACAUGCAAGUCGAGCGCGUGAACCUCACUGAACUCUUCGGAGGGACGUGAGUGGAUCGAGCGGCGGACGGGUGAGUAACACGUGGGCAACCUGCCUGUAAGACUGGGAUAACUCGCGGAAACGUGAGCUAAUACCGGAUAAUACUUUUA
rnacentral:ncRNA from 1 species